GGCGUACGCUAUGAUCGCGAGAGAACUGAGGCCGCGGACGACCGCGAUGACCGGAAAGGACAAUAAUGUAACCGCGAAAACCAAAUGGCUGGUUUAUUGGACGGUCUUCGCAAUGAUUUUGAUUAUGGAAAGUCCAGUAAGCGCAUUUUUGAAUGCGAUUAAGCCGUUUUAUUAUUUGUUACAAAUGGCAUUUUUCGUAUGGUGCUUCGCACCGAUCG